GAUGCAGUGGAUUCUCAUCCCUUCUGAUGAGCAAGAAGAGGAAAGUGCUUCUCUCCUCUUUCUGCAGAUGUGCCCUGGAACAGUGAGCUGCAGCACACCUGCAGAACUGCUCCUGGGAUCAGGAUCCUGCCCAGCACCGGAGUAUGAAGGCAGUGAGCAAGGAAUGGGCUCACAGAGACUGUUGAAGUGUGUGAGGAGGAAAAAUAACACAAUGAGGAAAAAAUACAAAAAAGCAACCGGUGCCAUGAAUAAUCCUAAAAUAUGAAUAGAUAUACUGGACAAAAGGAGUGAUGUGAUGGGUUGGAUAAUGUGGAGCAGAGCGAGCCAGGACUGAACUGAGUGAUGUGGAACGGCACUGGAUGGCACUGGUAAGGACGAAGGCAACAGAAUUUGGCCCUCCAAAAUGGAAUAUGUGGUUCAGCCAAGGCCUUUCCUUGUGGUGCCUAGCAGCACAGUGUGGUGAGUUCCCCUCAUGCACAACCUGGUGGCACUGAGUAACAUGGUGGUUCUGUUAAUGCUGGCAGUAGAUUUGCUCCCUGCUCUUUCCCCUUGUAAAGGAAAGUAGGAGAUGACUCAGGAAAACUCUGAAGAUGCUUCUGAGU